rnacentral:rRNA from 1 species
AUGUUGGCCAGGCAAGCAUGGCGGAUAUUGCAAAAUCCUUGCUCAUUAUGCACACAAGUUCUUGCUGCUAAAUACUUUCCAGAUGGUUCAAUACUAGAAGCGAAGCCAAUGAAGGGUAUUUCGUAUUCAUGGCGAAGUAUUCUCAAAGGGGUACAGUUACUCAAAAAGGGAAUCAUUUGGCGAGUAGGAAAUGGAGAAAACAUUCGAGUAUGGGAGGACCCAUGGAUCCCGAGGGGAAGUACGAGGAGGAUCAGUUCGCCAAAAGGAAGAAACUUAAUAGGAAGGGUUUCUGAAUUGAUAAAUCCUAUAACAAACCAAUGGGAUGCUGACCUAAUAAAGCAAACAUUUUGGCCAGAGGAUGCAAAUAUCAUCCUUCAGAUACCUAUUCAAGAACAAACAGAGAAUUCAGAUUUUGACUGGAAGAAGUUAUGGGCGCUUCCCCUACCAAGCAAAGUGAGGCACUUUCUAUGGAGAAUUGCAACAUACAGCUUGCCUCUAAGGACAAAGCUAAAAAGGAAAGGAUAA